rnacentral:rRNA from 1 species
CCCUUUUAUCGGGGAUAACUUGCCGAAAGGUGAGCUAAUACCGGAUGUGCUGUUUUGAUCACAUGAUCGAGAUAACAAAGGUGGCCUCUAUUUAUAAGCUACCGUAAAAAGGAUGGACCCGCGUCUGAUUAGCUAGUUGGUGGGGUAAUGGCCUACCAAGGCGACGAUCAGUAGCCGGCCUGAGAGGGUGAACGGCCACACUGGGACUGAGACACGGCCCAGACUCCUACGGGAGGCAGCAGUGGGGAAUCUUCCGCAAUGGACGAAAGUCUGACGGAGCAACGCCGCGUGAGUGACGAAGGUUUUCGGAUUGUAAAACUCUGUCUUUUGGGACGAAGGGUUCAUAUGUAAAUAAUGUAUGAAAUUGACGGUACCGAAGGAGGAAGCCCCGGCUAACUACGUGCCAGCAGCCGCGGUAAUACGUAGGGGGCAAGCGUUGUCCGGAAUUAUUGGGCGUAAAGAGCGCGCAGGCGGUUUUGUAAGUCCACCGUGAAAGCUUACGGCUCAACCGUAACGGGUCGGUGGAUACUGCAAGACUUGAGGGCAGGAGAGGAAAGUGGAAUUCCCAGUGUAGCGGUGAAAUGCGUAGAUAUUGGGAGGAACACCAGUGGCGAAGGCGACUUUCUGGACUGUUACUGACGCUGAGGCGCGAAAGCUGGGGAAGUGAACGGGAUUAGAUACCCCGGUAAUCCCAGCCGUAAACGAUGGGUACUAGGUGUAGGGGGUAUCGACCCCCCCUGUGCCGGAGUUAACGCAAUAAGU